AUGCGCGCUCGUCCCCGCCGGAGCCUCGGUUCGGCCUACGGGGACGGGGCGGGCGGAGGCCGGCCGCUGGGGUACGAGGGAGGGGCCGCAGCCGCCGCCGUCGCUGCCCAGGGCGAGGAGCAUGUCUGCAACUCGAGCCAAGAAAGUGAAGAUGGCCACCAAAUCGUGCCCCGAGUGCGACCAACAGAUGAGGGCUUCAAGGCCGAGCUGAAGUUCCUGGCGUCCAUCUUCGACAAGAACCACGAGCGAUUCCGCAUCGUCCGCUGGAAGCUGGACGCGCUGCAGUGCCAGUUCCUGGUGCCGCCGCCGCUCACACUCCACUGCAACUCACGGAAUCCUGUCCAUCUUCUUCACCCAUGUGGUUUGUGGACUCUGAUGACCCAAAUCUGACAUCAGUUCUGGAACGUCUAGAAGAUACUAAGAACAACAGUUUGUUUUGUCAGCAAUUGAAGUGGUUGGUAUGUGAACUCUGCAGAUUGUAUGACCUUCCUAAGCACCUGGAUGUUGAGAUACUGGAUCAGCCACCACCCACGGGUCAGAAUGGGACAACAGAAGUGACUUCAGAAGAAGAAGAGGAAGAGAUGGCUGAAGAUAUAGAAGACUUAGAUCACUAUGAGAUGAAGGAAGAAGAGUCCAUUAGUGGGAAAAAGUCGGAGGAUGAAGGAAUUGAAAAAGAAAAUUUGGCAAUAUUAGAGAAAAUUAGGAAGACUCAGAGGCAAGACCAUUUAAAUGGUGUAGUGUCUGGUCAGUGCAAGCUUCAGAUAGACUUAUGAAAGAGCUCAGGGACAUAUACAGAUCACAGAGUUAUAAAGCAGGGAUUUAUUCAGUGGAACUCAUAAAUGACAGUUUGUAUGACUGGCAUGUUAAACUGCAGAAGAUUGACCCUGAUAGUCCUUUGCACAGUGAUCUUCAGAUCUUAAAAGAAAAAGAAGGCAUAGAAUAUAUUUUGCUUAACUUUUCUUUUAAGGAUAACUUUCCAUUUGAUCCUCCAUUUGUUCGAGUGGUGUCACCUGUUCUCUCAGGAGGGUACGGUGUUGGGUGGAGGAGUAUUAUGUAUGGAACUUCUCACAAAACAGGGCUGGAGCAGUGCCUACUUAGUAGAAUCCGUCAUCAUGCAAAUAAAUGCCACCUUAGUCAAAGGCAAAGCCAGAGUACAGUUGGAGCAAAUAAGAAUCAAUAUAAUCUAGCAAGAGCUCAACAAUCCUAUAAUUCCAUUGUACAGAUACAUGAGAAAAAUGGCUGGUACAUCCCUCCAAAGGAAGAUGGCUAAAUAUGUUGACUGUCAUACGUUUGGACCAAUGUUGCUUUUUAUAAAGAAAAUCUUUCCAACAUGCAGACACAAGCUUUGAGUGCCCCUAUAACAGCAAUACCGAAGACGUUAGCUAAUAGAUAUUUUAGUGGAUAAUCUGUCAACUGACAUCCAGUAUAAGUUACAGCCUUUUCAUUUUGCUCAUUUUA